UUGAGCGAUUUAUUUCGGUAAAGAGCGGCGGACGGGUGAGUAACGCGUGGGUAACCUACCCUGUACACACGGAUAACAUACCGAACGGUAUGCUAAUACGGGUUAAUAUAUUUGAGAGGCAUCUCUUAAAUAUAAAAGGUGAGCCAGUACAGGAUGGACCCGCGUUUGACUUGCUAGUUGGUAAGUUAACGGCUUACCAAGGCGCCGAUCAGU
rnacentral:rRNA from 1 species